AGCUAGUAGGUUGGCUUAGAAGCAGCCAUCCUUUAAAGAGUGCGUAACAGCUCACUAGUCGAGGGUUCUCGCGCCGAAAAUGUAACGGGGCUAAAGCACAUCACCGAAGCCGCGGGACUUCCGUUUUAACGGGAGUCGGUAGGGGAGCGUUGCUAGCGCGUUGAAGUCAGACUGUGAGGUCUGGUGGAGUGCUGGGAAGUGAGAAUGCCGGCAUGAGUAGCGACAAUCCUGGUGAGAAUCCAGGACACCGAAAGCACAAGGUUUCCUACGCAACGCUGAUCGACGUAGGGUAAGUCGGGCCUAAGCUGUAGCGCAAUAGCGAAAGCGAUGGACAACGGGUCAAAAUUCCCGUACCACCGUUAUUUCGUUUUAAAGUAAAGGGGGGACACGGACAGGUAGGCGGAGCGUGCCCAUCGGACAUGGCACGUUUUCUGUUGUAGGCCAAGCUAAGAUAGGCAAAUCCGUUUUAGCGUUAUGAGCUGAGGGCAGAGAAAACUUCAGGGCUUAUGCCCAGGGGAAUUCCGUUGAUCCUAUGCCGUCAAGAAAAGCCUCGUUACUAGAAAUAAUGGUGCCCGUACCGCAAACCGACACAGGUGUGCAGGGGUAAAUGUCCCCAGGUGAACGAGAUAACCCUCGUUAAGGAAUUCGACAACUUGACCGCGUAACUUCGGGAUAAGCGGUGCCCGUAGGGUGAAAUCUGCUUGCCAGAUGGAGCCUUGGCGGGCCUCAGUGAACAGGCUCAAGCGACUGUUUAUCAAAAACAUAGGUCUCUGCUAAGCUGAAAGGCGAUGUAUAGGGGCUGACGCCUGCCCAGUGCCGGAAGGUUAAGGGGAUUGGUUAUUUUGGUUUCGACCAAAAGAAGCUGAGAACCGAAGCCCCGGUGAACGGCGGCCGUAACUAUAACGGUCCUAAGGUAGCGAAAUCCCUUGUCGGGUAAGUUCCGACCCGCACGAAUGGCGUAACGACUUGAGCGUUGUCUCAACGAGGGGCUCGGUGAAAUUGCAUGGCCGGUAAAGAUGCCGGCUACCCGUGACAGGACAAAAAGACCCCGUGGAGCUUUACUGUAGUUUGGCAGUGGUUCGGGGUUGCGGAUGUGUAGGAUAGGCGGGAGACUUUGAAACUCUAGCGUCAGCUGGAGUGGAGUCGCCCUUGAAAUACCGCCCUUCUGUGAUCGUGAUCCUAACCCCAUUAAAAUUGGGGGACCCUGCCUGAUGGGCAGUUUGACUGGGGCGGUCGCCUCCUAAAGAGUAACGGAGGCGCACAAAGGUUCGCUCAAGGUGGAUGGAAAUCACCUUUAAGAGUGUAUUGGCAUAAGCGAGCUUGACUGCGAGACCUACAAGUCGAGCAGAGACGAAAGUCGGUCAAAGUGAUCCCACGUUUCCGAGUGGAAGGGAC
rnacentral:rRNA from 1 species